rnacentral:rRNA from 1 species
GACGAACGCUGGCGGCGGGCCUAAUACAUGCAAGUAGAACGCAGUUGCGAACGGGUGAGUAACGCGUAGGUAACUGCCUCAUAGCAGGGGAUAACUAUUGGAAACGAUAGCUAAUACCGCAUACUGGGAGAUGGACCUGAGUUGUAUUAGGUAGUUGGUGAGGUAAAGGCUCACCAAGGCGACGAUACAUAGCCUACCUGAGAGGGUGGUCGGGCACACUGGGACUGAGAAAAGGCCCAGAAUCCUUCGGGAGGCAGCAGUAGGGAAACUUUGGCAAUGGACGGAAGGCGGACCGAGCAACGCCGCGGGAGUGAAGAAGGUUUUCGGAUCGGAAAGCUCUGGUGUUAGAGAAGCGGUACCUAAACAGAAAGGGACGGCUAACUACGUGCCAGCAGCCGCGGUAAUAC